rnacentral:rRNA from 1 species
UAAGGAAUAUUGGUCAAUGGACGCAAGUCUGAACCAGCCAUGCCGCGUGAAGGAUGAAGGUCCUCUGGAUUGUAAACUUCUUUUAUCUGGGACGAAAACGGGAUUUUUAUCUCAAUUGACGGCACCAGAGGAAUAAGCACCGGCUAACUCCGUGCCAGCAGCCGCGGUAAUACGGAGGGCGCGAGCGUUAUCCGGAUUUACUGGGUUUAAAGGGUGCGUAGGUGGGCUUAUAAGUCAGUGGUGAAAUCUCCGAGCUUAACUUGGAAACUGCCGUUGAUACUAUAGGUCUUGAAUUAUCUGGAGGUAAGCGGAAUAUGUCAUGUAGCGGUGAAAUGCUUAGAUAUGACAUAGAACACCAAUUGCGAAGGCAGCUUACUACAUAUAAAUUGAUGCUGAGGCACGAAAGCGUGGGGAUCAAACA